AUGGUUUUUGUCUGCUUUGAGGCUUGUCGUCGGGGUUUUUUGGCAGGCUGCAGGCCUUAUUUGUCUAUUGAUGCCACUUUUCUCAUAGGGAGGUUUAAAGGACAGUUAGUAGCAGCUUGUGUAGUUGAUGCACACAGUUUUGUAUUUCCAGUUGCCUACGGUGUGCUGGAGACAGAGUCUGAGGAGAGCUGGACUUGGUUUUUGCAUAAUCUGCGCCGGGCUAUUGCACAUCCGAAUGGGUUGGUCAUUCAUACAGAUGCCUGCAAAGGUUUAGAAGUGGCCGUGGACAAUGUGUUCCCUGGAGUAGAGCAUAGGGAAUGCAUGUGUCACCUUGCUGCAAAUUUCAUGAAGAAAUUCAAAGGAAAGGUGUAUACCGACAAUUUAUGGCCAGCAUCUUUGAAUUGCAGUGUGAAGAAGCACAACUACCACUUGAGGCAGUUAUACAUGAAUCCCAAAGUGAAAGAAUACUUGGAAACACACCACUCCAAGUUAUGGGCCAGAAGCCAAUUCAGUGAACUGAGCAAAGUUGACUAUGUGCACAAUAAUCUAGCAGAGUCUUUCAACUCAACGAUCCGGAAA
rnacentral:rRNA from 1 species